rnacentral:rRNA from 1 species
AGUUAGGUAGUAAUACUUGACCUAGAGCGGCGCACGGGUGCGUAACGCGUAUGCAACCUACCUUUUACUGGGGGAUAGCCCGGAGAAAUCUGGAUUAAUACCCCAUAGUACCUAAGGAUCGAUUGGUUUUUAGUUUAAAGAUUUAUCGGUAAAAGAUGGGCAUGCGUCUGAUUAGCUAGUUGGCGGGGUAACGGCCCACCAAGGCGACGUUCAGUAGGGGUUCUGAGAGGAAGGUCCCCCACACUGGCACUGAGAUACGGGCCAGACUCCUACGGGAGGCAGCAGUAGGGAAUAUUGGGCAAUGGUCGCAAGACUGACCCAGCCAUGCCGCGUGCAGGAAGACGGCCCUCUGGGUUGUAAACUGCUUUUAUCUGGGAAGAAAAAGUCCAUGCGUGGAAAAUUGCCGGUACCAGAUGAAUAAGCACCGGCUAACUCCGUGCCAGCAGCCGCGGUAAUACGGAGGGUGCAAGCGUUGUCCGGAUUUAUUGGGUUUAAAGGGUGCGUAGGCGGCUGAAUAAGUCAGCGGUGAAAGACUUCGGCUUAACCGGAGCAGUGCCGUUGAUACUGUUUAGCUUGAGUGUUGGAGGGGUACAUGGAAUUGAUGGUGUAGCGGUGAAAUGCAUAGAUACCAUCAGGAACACCGAUAGCGAAGGCAUUGUACUGGCCAACAACUGACGCUGAGGCACGAAAGUGUGGGGAUCGAACAGGAUUAGAUACCCUGGUAGUCCACACUGUAAACGAUGAUUACUCGCUGUUAUGCUGUAUAGUGUAGCGGCCAAGCGAAAGCGU